GUGUCAGCCGCCGCGGUAAUACGUACCGGACAAACGUUAUUCGGAAUUACUGGGCUUAAAGAGUGCGUAGGCGGCUUUGAAGGUGGGGUGUGAAAGCCCACGGCUCAACCGUGGAAUUGCGCUCCAAACCGCAAGGCUUGAGGAAGACAGAGGUGAGCGGAACUGAUGGUGGAGCGGUGAAAUGCGUUGAUAUCAUCAGGAACACCCGUGGCGAAGGCGGCUCACUGGGUCUUUUCUGACGCUGAGGCACGAAAGCUAGGGGAGCGAACGGGAUUAGAAACCCGCGUAGUCC
rnacentral:rRNA from 1 species